GAAAAGAACCCCGGCGAGGGGAGUGAAAAAGAACCUGAAACCGUGUACGUACAAGCAGUGGGAGCCUCUUAAUGGGGUGACUGCGUACCUUUUGUAUAAUGGGUCAGCGACUUAUAUUCUGUAGCAAGGUUAACCGAAUAGGGGAGCCGAAGGGAAACCGAGUCUUAACUGGGCGUUAAGUUGCAGGGUAUAGACCCGAAACCCGGUGAUCUAGCCAUGGGCAGGUUGAAGGUUGGGUAACACUAACUGGAGGACCGAACCGACUAAUGUUGAAAAAUUAGCGGAUGACUUGUGGCUGGGGGUGAAAGGCCAAUCAAACCGGGAGAUAGCUGGUUCUCCCCGAAAGCUAUUUAGGUAGCGCCUCGUGAAUUCAUCUCCGGGGGUAGAGCACUGUUUCGGCAAGGGGGUCAUCCCGACUUACCAACCCGAUGCAAACUGCGAAUACCGGAGAAUGUUAUCACGGGAGACACACGGCGGGUGCUAACGUCCGUCGUGAAGAGGGAAACAACCCAGACCGCCAGCUAAGGUCCCAAAGUCAUGGUUAAGUGGGAAACGAUGUGGGAAGGCCCAGACAGCCAGGAUGUUGGCUUAGAAGCAGCCAUCAUUUAAAGAAAGCGUAAUAGCUCACUGGUCGAGUCGGCCUGCGCGGAAGAUGUAACGGGGCUAAACCAUG
rnacentral:rRNA from 1 species